rnacentral:rRNA from 1 species
UGGGAACCUGCCUUUUAGGUUUCGGAAUAACGCCUCGAAAGGGGUGCUAAUACCGAAUAAUGUCUUCGGACCAAAGAUUUAUCGCCUUUAGAUGGGCCCGCGUUGGAUUAGCUAGUUGGUGGGGUAAAGGCCUACCAAGGCGACGAUCCAUAGCUGGUCUUAGAGGAUGAUCAGCCACACUGGGACUGAGACACGGCCCAGACCUCCGUACGGGAGGCAG